CUAAUGUUAUUUAACUGCUAAUGAAAUUUGUUAUGCAGGAGCAGGAAGAGUUUUAACGGCCAAUGAAGUAGAGAUAGAAGCGAUAGAAAGAGGGCUGGAGCUUAUUAUCAAAAAAGGUGUGAAAUGAUCCUUGUGUUAUUGAAGGGGACUUUUUGUAAUUGGUUGAGAAAAAAAUUGAUAAAAAUUAUGGAAAAAAUGGAUAAAAAUUAUGGAAAUGUGCUGUAGCUUGUAAGUUUCUUUUCAACAUGUUUAUAGAGAGACAAAUUCAAUUGCUG
rnacentral:lncRNA from 1 species